CGCCGCGGUAUACGUAGGGGGCGAGCGUUGUCCGAAUUUACUGGGCGUAAAGCGCGCGUAGGCGGACUCUUAAGUUGGUGGUGAAAUGCCGAGGCUCAACCUCGGAACUGCCUUCGAAACUGGGAGUCUUGAGGCUUGGAGAGGGAAGUGGAAUUCCUGGUGUAGCGGUGAAAUGCGUAGAUAUCAGGAGGAACACCGAUGGCGAAGGCAGCUUCCUGGCCAUGUCCUGACGCUGAGGUGCGAAAGCCAGGGUAGCGAACGGGAUUAGAUACCCCGGUAGUCCUGGCCGUAAACGAUGGAUGCUAGGUGUUAGAGGUAUCGACCCCUCUAGUGCCGAAUCAAACGCAUUAAGUAUCCCGCCUGGAGAGUACGGCCGCGGGGUUGAAACUCAGAGGAUUUGACGGGGGCCCGCACAAGCGGUGGAGCAUGUGUUUUAUUACGUCACUAACCGUAGAACCUCACCCAGGCUUGACAUCUGCUGAAAGCGCCUGAAAGGGUGGCCCCGGUAUUUUUAUAUCGCAGCAAGACAGGUGUUGCAUGGCUGUCGUCAGCUCGUGUCAUGAGAUGUUGGAUUAAGUCCCGCAACGAGCGCAACCCUCAUCCGAUGUUGCCAGCGUAAAGUCGGGAACUCUUCGGAAACUGCCCGUGCAAGCGGAAGGAAGGUGGGGAUGACGUCAAGUCAGCAUGGCCCUUACGCCUGGGGUUACACACAUGCUACAAUGGAUGUAAACAAUGGGC
rnacentral:rRNA from 1 species